UGCCCUGGUUCAGUUAUCACAGUGCUGAUGCUGUCCCCAUCGAAGGUACAGUACUGUGAUAACUGAAGGAUGGCU
rnacentral:pre_miRNA from 16 species